UACGGAGGGUGCAAGCGUUAUCCGGAUUCACUGGGUUUAAAGGGUGCGUAGGUGGGUUGGUAAGUCAGUGGUGAAAUCCCCGAGCUUAACUUGGGAACUGCCAUUGAUACUAUUAAUCUUGAAUACCGUGGAGGUUAGCGGAAUAUGUCAUGUAGCGGUGAAAUGCUUAGAUAUGACAUAGAACACCAAUUGCGAAGGCAGCUGGCUACACAAAUAUUGACACUGAGGCACGAAAGCGUGGGGAUCAAACAGG
rnacentral:rRNA from 1 species